AGAGUUUGAUCAUGGCUCAGAAUCAACGCUGGCGGCGUGCCUAACACAUGCAAGUCGAACGCGAAAGCCCCGCAAGGGGUAAGUAGAGUGGCAAACGGGUGAGUAACACGUGGGUGACCUGCCUUCGAGUGGGGGAUAACGUCCCGAAAGGGACGCUAAUACCGCAUAACAUGCCGCCUUUGAAGAGGUGGACAUCAAAGCCGGGGAUCGCAAGACCUGGCGCUGGAAGAGGGGCCCGCGUCCGAUUAGCUAGUUGGUGAGGUAAUGGCUCACCAAGGCGACGAUCGGUAGCCGGCCUGAGAGGGCGGACGGCCACACUGGGACUGAGACACGGCCCAGACUCCUACGGGAGGCAGCAGUGGGGAAUUGUUCGCAAUGGGCGCAAGCCUGACGACGCAACGCCGCGUGGAGGAUGAAGAUCUUCGGGUCGUAAACUCCUUUCGAUCGAGACGAAUUCCUCUGGGGUGAACAAUCCCGGAGGUUGACGGUACCGAGAGAAGAAGCCCCGGCUAACCCCGUGCCAGCAGCCGCGGUAAUACGGGGGGGGCAAGCGUUGUUCGGAAUUACUGGGCGUAAAGGGCUCGUAGGCGGCCAACUAAGUCGGACGUGAAAUCCCUCGGCUUAACCGGGGAACUGCGUCCGAUACUGGAUGGCUUGAGUUCGGGAGAGGGAUGCGGAAUUCCAGGUGUAGCGGUGAAAUGCGUAGAUAUCUGGAGGAACACCGGUGGCGAAGGCGGCAUCCUGGACCGACACUGACGCUGAGGAACGAAAGCCAGGGGAGCAAACGGGAUUAGAUACCCUAGUAGUCC
rnacentral:rRNA from 1 species